GCGCUGCGACCGCACGCCUGCCGGCCUGCCGGGCUCGGCCUCUUGUGGCGGCUCCCGGGUGGAAGUGUUGGCGUCCGUCGCUGCUGCGGUCUUACUCUCCGCGCUCUCCAAGCCGUCUAGCGGCGGGAGCCUCUGAGCACCGGCCGCGCCGUCGGGGUCGCACCGCGGGAAGGAGGUGACGGGGCGGCGCGGGGCGCGGACCCUCGCCGCCGAGAGCCGCCUGCCAUGGACUCGGAGUACUACGGCGGCGACCAGUCAGCAGAUGAUGGUGGCGCUACCCCAGUGCAGGAUGAACGGGAUUCAGGGUCAGACGGUGAGGAUGAUGUAAAUGAGCAGCACUCUGGAUCAGACACUGGAAGUGUAGAACGUCACUCAGAGAAUGAACCUAGUGAUCGAGAAGAUGGCCUCAACAAAAGACAUCAUGUGACAGACUCUGAGAAUGAUGACCCCUCAAAUCUUAAUGCUAGUGACUCUGAAAGUGAGGAGCUUCAAAGACAAAAAGACAGUGACUCUGAAUCUGAAGAGCAUGCAGAGCCUCCUGCAAGUGAUUCUGAAAAUGAGGAUGUCACUCACCAAGGGAGUGACUCUGAGAGUGAGGAAACCAGGAAAUUACCUGUUAGUGACUCUGAAAAUGAGGAACUUCUUAAUGGGCAUGCAAGUGACUCCGAAAAUGAAGGUGUUAGAAAGCAUCCUGCCAGUGAUUCCGAGAUUGAGGAGCUCCCAAAAAGUCCUGCCAGUGACUCUGAAACAGAGGAUGCUCUAAAACCUCAAGUCAGUGACUCUGAGAGUGAAGAACCCGCAAGGCACCGAGCCAGUGACUCCGAAAAUGAGGAGCUUCCCAAACCGCAAAUUAGUGACUCGGAAAGUGAGGAGCUUCCUAAACCUCGGGUCAGUGACUCUGAAAGUGAGGAGCCUCAGAGGACUCAAGCCAGUGACUCUGAAAAUGAGGAGCUUCCCAAACCGCGUGUGAGUGACUCAGAAAGUGAGGGCCCACCAAGACACCAAGCUAGUGACUCUGAAAAUGACGAGCUUCCCAAACCCCGUGUCAGUGACUCAGAAAGUGAGGACCCCCCAAGGCACCAAGCCAGCGACUCAGAAAAUGACGAGCUUCCCAAACCCCGAAUUAGUGAUUCAGAAAGUGAGGACCCCCCAAGGAACCAGGCUAGUGAUUCUGAAAACGAGGAGCUCCCUAAACCCCGAGUCAGUGACUCUGAGAGUGAGGAGCCUCAGAAGGGGCCUGCCAGUGAUUCGGAACCUGAGGAUGCCGCCAGACGCAAACAGAAGCCAGAGUCGGAAGAUGAUAGCGAUGGGGAGAAUAAGGGAGAGGACGCAGAAAUGCAAAAUGACUCCUUUCAUUCAGAUAGCCAUAUAGACAGGAAAAGUUUUCACAGUUCUGACAGCGAGGAGGAAGAACCCAAAAGGCCAAAAAUGGACAGUGAUGAAGAUGAAGAAAAAGAGGGGGAGGAAGAGAAAGUAGCGAAGCGAAAAGCUGCUGUGCUUUCUGAUAGUGAAGAUGAAGAGAAAGCAACAGCAGCGAAGAAGAGUCGUGUUGUCUCUGAUGCAGAUGACUCUGACAGUGAUGUUAUAUCAGACAAAUCAGGCAAAAGAGAGAAGACUGUAGCAUCUGACAGUGAAGAAGAAGCAGGGAAAGAAGAAUUAUCUGAUAAGAAAAAUGAAGAGAAGGAUCUGUUUGGGAGUGAUAGUGAGUCAGGGAAUGAAGAAGAAAAUCUUAUUGCAGACAUAUUUGGAGAAUCUGGUGAUGAAGAGGAAGAAGAAUUUACAGGUUUUAACCAAGAAGAUUUGGAAGAAGAAAAAAGUGAAACACAGAUAAAAGAAGCAGAAGAUUCAGAUUCUGAUGAUAACAUAAAGAGAGGAAAACAUAUGGACUUUCUGUCGGAUUUUGAGAUGAUGUUGCAGCGGAAAAAGAGUAUGAGUGGCAAGCGCAGACGCAACCGUGAUGGGGGGACUUUCAUUAGCGACGCCGACGAUGUUGUGAGCGCCAUGAUCGUCAAGAUGAAUGAAGCUGCUGAGGAAGACAGACAGUUGAACAAUCAAAAAAAGCCAGCAUUGAAAAAAUUAACAUUAUUACCUACUGUGGUCAUGCACCUUAAGAAGCAGGACCUUAAAGAAACAUUUAUUGACAGUGGUGUGAUGUCUGCCAUCAAAGAAUGGCUCUCACCUCUACCAGAUAGGAGUUUGCCAGCACUGAAGAUUCGAGAGGAGCUGUUGAAGAUUCUGCAAGAGCUGCCUAGUGUGAGCCAGGAAACCCUGAAGCAUAGUGGGAUUGGACGAGCAGUGAUGUAUCUCUAUAAACACCCCAAGGAAUCAAGGUCCAACAAGGACAUGGCAGGGAAAUUAAUCAAUGAAUGGUCUCGGCCUAUAUUUGGUCUUACCUCAAACUACAAAGGAAUGACAAGAGAAGAAAGGGAGCAGAGAGAUCUAGAACAAAUGCCUCAACGACGAAGAAUGAACAGGUAUGAGGGAACAGCACUGGUGGUCAGACACCCCGAAGAGACCUGGAAAAGGUGCUGACAGGAGAGGAGAAGGCUCUGAGACCUGGAGAUCCUGGAUUCUGUGCCCGUGCGAGGGUCCCCAUGCCCUCAAACAAGGACUAUGUUGUCAGGCCCAAGUGGAAUGUGGAAAUGGAGUCAUCCAGGUUUCAGGGGACCUCCAAAAAGGGUAUCAGUCGACUGGAUAAACAGAUGAGAAAGUUCACAGAUAUCAGGAAAAAAAGCAGAUCUGCACAUGCAGUGAAAAUCAGCAUCGAGGGCAAUAAGAUGCCAUUGUGACCUUGCCUGGGAUGUGUCCUCACCUCUAAGAAAUGCGCAGUGGACUCUUUGGAGAAAGAAGAUAUUUUAAAAAAAUUUUUUAGUGUAUCUGUAAAUGGUUCAGCUUGUAUCAAAUGUUGUCAUAGGACUCGCACUUCUCUCAGUUGUAUUUAAACCAUUUGUUGUGAACUUUGUACAGAGGAAUACUAGUCAUACUUCUAUAAACUUUAUACAAUAAAAUUCCCUUCUGGUUUGGGGGGCUGUCUCUUCAUUGUCUUAGAGGAUGCAUUAUCAGUGGGGAUGAAAAUUGGUUCUUGGUGAGUGAAAAAGAUCUUAGAUUACAGUGAUUUGUGUCCUUUCAAAAGUUCAGUUUACCUGAUUGUGGUAUGAUAAGAAAUUUGUGUGGUCUCUAUCCUGUGUUCCUGACAGAGAGCUGCUAAAACCUAGGGGUUUUCUGAGCGAUAGGAAUGUUUUUUGUGAUGCUAAUGAGGUGACUCCUAGCAAGCUCCUAGAUAGCUUUAGGAGGGAGCUGGUCACCAGAAUGACCUACCACACAAUUAGAGACUUUGGGCAGGCCUGACCUCUGCGGGGUGAGGGGUGCUGGAGAUUAAGUUCAGUCACGUGCCCAGUGGUGUAAUCUGUCAUGCCUCAACAGUCAAGCCCCAGUGAGAAACUCCGGACACUGAAGCUCAGCGGGGCUUCCUGACUGGUGGACACGCUGAGGUGCCUUGAUUCCACAUGGAGAGGGUUCCGAGCUCUGCCUUUCCCUCCAGACCUCACCCUGUGUGUCUCUUCAUUUGGCUGGUCCCCCUAAUUUGAAUCCUUUAUAAUAAAACUAAUUGUAAAUAUA